UAGGGAAUCUUCCACAAUGGACGCAAGUCUGAUGGAGCAACGCCGCGUGAGUGAAGAAGGUCUUCGGAUCGUAAAACUCUGUUGUUAGAGAAGAACACGAGUGAGAGUAACUGUUCUUGUAUUGACGGUAUCUAACCAGAAAGCCACGGCUAACUACGUGCUAG
rnacentral:rRNA from 1 species